ACAGUUUGGUACAAAUCCUCAUCUCUUGUGAGUGCGCGCUUAGUCUUACAUAAACUUUAAACUUUUGUAUAAACAUUUUUUGGUUACUCGUGCUAAUCUCUUCAAAGUGAAAGCUGAACAGUUUGUAAUGGCCGAUUGCUUUUUCCACCUCUCACUCAUCACUGAAAAACAAGAAGAAAAGGUAGAAGGACUGAAGGAUAGGGGGAAGUAGCGGUUGCGGUUCCAUUAGGUGUAUCGGCUAUUGGACUCGACAGUGACACGUCGACAUAUCACCAAGAGAAGAUUAAGAUGUAAAGCCCUUAUUUCUAGAUUCUGUUUUAUCUUGCCUGUGAUCUGCAACAUAUAUUUCACCGAUUUCACCUACCAAGACACGAUAACUGAACAUCCCCUGCCCCUGCAUUCAAGGCUGGAAACUCCCUGGAUCUCCUAGCUUGAUCUCCUACUAGCUGGAUCUCCCCAAAACCCUUACCCAUGUGCACAAUUGGUCGGUUGCAUUCGUCAUUGUCUUAUUUACCUAUUUCAGCUUGCUUUAUUUUGACUUUGUAAGUAGGUUUAAGUAAAAUAUUUUUUCCCUUCACUUGUGAUUCAAUUGUGUAAAGACUCAUUGGGUUAAUUUUGCCCAGGACUUCCAUUAAAAAUUCUAUUCUAUGAAUACGUGAGUACAUUUUCUUUCCUAAGAAGGAAAACUACUUAUUUCAAUGCUCCUCUCAUGAUCCCUUGUUCUAUCAUUAGGCUAAUCUGCAGACCUGAUCAGUCACAGGAGUGAUGCAGGGCUUUUGAAUUUUCCUGUCUAACUGCAAAAUCUGCCAAUUGAUUUGGAUUUUAUUGCAAUCACUGUCCCUUGGUCAGAUACAUUUAGACUACAUUUUGCAAUUAAGAACUAUAAUUUCUGGGUCAGUUUAGAAACAACGUAUGUACCAGCAGUUUCCUUAUGCAUGUAUGUGUUUGUACAGAUAAGCCAGGAAUUAUAGUUCCGAAUUGCAAAAUGUAGUCCAUUUAUCAUACAUAGUUUCGCACCAUACAUGCAAGUAUGUUACACAUAUGUAU
rnacentral:lncRNA from 1 species